AAAAGCUCGUAGUUGGAUUUCUGGUAGGAGCGGCCGGUCCGCCCCGUAAUGGGGUGUGCACUAGCGCCGCCUCCGGCCAUCCUUGGGGGAACUGCCAUGGCCUUAACUGGUUGUGGUAUGGAACCCAUCGUUUACUGUGAAAAAAUUAGAGUGUUUAAAGCAGGCUUAGGCCGUUGAAUACAUUAGCAUGGAAUAAUAAGAUAGGACCUUAUGGACCUCUUGUUGGUUUGCGCCGUAAGGUAAUGAUUAAUAGGGAUAGUUGGGGGUAUUCGUAUUUAAUUGUCAGAGGUGAAAUUCUUGGAUUUAUGAAAGACGAACUUCUGCGAAAGCAUUUACCAAGGAUGUUUUCAUUAAUCAAGAACGAAAGUUAGGGGAUCGAAGAUGAUUAGAUACCAUCGUAG
rnacentral:rRNA from 1 species